rnacentral:rRNA from 1 species
UGAGGAAUAUUGGUCAAUGGGCGAGAGCCUGAACCAGCCAAGUAGCGUGCAGGAUGACCGCCCUAUGGGUUGUAAACUGCUUUUAUAAGGGAAUAAAGUGAGAGUCCUGACUCUUUUUGCAUGUACCUUAUGAAUAAGGACCGGCUAAUUCCGUGCCAGCAGCCGCGGUAAUACGGAAGGUCCGGGCGUUAUCCGGAUUUAUUGGGUUUAAAGGGAGCGUAGGCCGGAGAUUAAGCGUGUUGUGAAAUGUAGACGCUCAACGUCUGCACUGCAGCGCGAACUGGUUUCCUUGAGUACGCACAAAGUGGGCGGAAUUCGUGGUGUAGCGGUGAAAUGCUUAGAUAUCACGAAGAACUCCGAUUGCGAAGGCAGCUCACUGGAGCGCAACUGACGCUGAAGCUCGAAAGUGCGGGUAUCGAACAGGAUUAGAUACCCUGGUAGUCCGCACGGUAAACGAUGGAUGCCCGCUGUUGGUCUGAACAGGUCAGCGGCCAAGCGAAAGCAUUAAGCAUCCCACCUGGGGAGUACGCCGGCAACGGUGAAACUCAAAGGAAUUGACGGGGGCCCGCACAAGCGGAGGAACAUGUGGUUUAAUUCGAUGAUACGCGAGGAACCUUACCCGGGCUUGAAUUGCAGAGGAAGGAUUUGGAGACAAUGACGCCCUUCGGGGUCUCUGUGAAGGUGCUGCAUGGUUGUCGUCAGCUCGUGCCGUGAGGUGUCGGCUUAAGUGCCAUAACGAGCGCAACCCCUCUCCUUAGUUGCCAUCAGGUCAAGCUGGGCACUCUGGCGGGACUGCCGGUGUAAGCCGAGAGGAAGGUGGGGAUGACGUCAAAUCAGCACGGCCCUUACGUCCGGGGCUACACACGUGUUACAAUGGCAGGUACAGAGAGACGGUCCCUUGCAAAAGGGAUCAAAUCCUCAAAGCCUGUCUCAGUUCGGACUGGGGUCUGCAACCCGACCCCACGAAGCUGGAUUCGCUAGUAAUCGCGCAUCAGCCAUGGCGCGGUGAAUACGUUCCC